UUCUCUGUAGCACAAUAAAUAGCGCGUUGGACUUUUAAUUCAAGGACCGUGGGCUCGAAUUCCACCUGAGAUG